AGUUUGAUCCUGGCUCAGGAUGAACGCUAGCGGCAGGCUUAACACAUGCAAGUCGAGGGGUAGGGUUCUUCGGAAUUUGAGACCGGCGCACGGGUGCGUAACGCGUAUGCAAUCUGCCUUCCACAGAGGGAUAGCCCAGAGAAAUUUGGAUUAAUACCUCAUAGCAUCAUGUUCCGGCAUCGGGAUAUGAUUAAAGUCACAACGGUGGAAGAUGAGCAUGCGUCCCAUUAGCUAGUUGGUAAGGUAACGGCUUACCAAGUCAACGAUGGGUAGGGGUCCUGAGAGGGAGAUCCCCCACACUGGUACUGAGACACGGACCAGACUCCUACGGGAGGCAGCAGUGAGGAAUAUUGGUCAAUGGGCGCAAGCCUGAACCAGCCAUGCCGCGUGCAGGAUGACGGUCCUAUGGAUUGUAAACUGCUUUUGUACGGGAAGAAACACUCCUACGCGUAGGAGCCUGACGGUACCGUAAGAAUAAGGAUCGGCUAACUCCGUG
rnacentral:rRNA from 1 species